rnacentral:rRNA from 1 species
CCUACGGGAGGCUGCAGUGAGGAAUAUUGGUCAAUGGACGAGAGUCUGAACCAGCCAAGUAGCGUGAAGGAUGACUGCCCUAUGGGUUGUAAACUUCUUUUAUAAAGGAAUAAAACGAGGCACGUGUGCCUUUUUGCAUGUACUUUAUGAAUAAGGAUCGGCUAACUCCGUGCCAGCAGCCGCGGUAAUACGUAGGGGGCAAGCGUUAUCCGGAAUCACUGGGUGUAAAGGGAGCGUAGACGGCUGUGCAAGCCUGAAGUGAAAGGCGGGGGCCCAACCCCUGGACUGCUUUGGGAACUGUACGGCUGGAGUGCAGGAGAGGUAAGUGGAAGUCCUAGUGUAGCGGUGAAAUGCGUAGAUAUUAGGAGGAACUCCGAUUGCGAAGGCAGCUUACUAAACUGCCACUGACAUUGAUGCUCGAAAGUGUGGGUAUCAAACAGGAUUAGAUACCCUUGUAGUC